AAUUAUUUUCUCUUUAUUUGAGCCUACGCGUAGCUCAAGGAAGAAACAAUAAUCAAAAAGUGAAAACCCCACAAUCAUUUUCACUCAGAAUUCCUUUGUGACCUUCCUGUUCUUCAGCCAUAGCUAUCAUUUAGCUGAGAGAGAGAAGCACGUGCCAUUGAAGUGGAGGGUCCGCAGCUAAAGGAUGGGGGAAAAGGAAAUUGAAGCCAAGAAUGUGAUGAAGAGGUCGAAGAAAUCACAACUUUAGUAAUGCAGAAGAGCAGCAAAUGUGUUGUAAUGAUUGAAGCUUUCUUUUUCAACAACACUUUGAUUCCUAUGGUAAGGAGAGAAGCCUUUGCUUCAUAAUUCUGGUUCCUUCUAUAUCAGGUUAUUUGAAGAGGAGAGAUGUAUGAGGAAUAAUUGUGGUAUAUAUCACAUUCUUUCCUUCCUUUGCUCUCUUUUGCCACCAACCACUUUUCUUUCUUCUCUUGAAUCAUAUGGAUGUGCUUGGUUCAGCAUAGCUGUAAGGUUAACCAUGGAAUUGGAAGUUUUGGAUGCAAACUAUCCUUCAUAGCCUAAACCAAUACUUUAGAAGCUCUUAAGAAACUGAUUAGUUUAUAGCCUGAUGGUUCGCUUCAUUUUCGAUAUCGCGACAUCAGAAUAAUCAACCGCUAUCACAGAGGAGGAUCUUGGACAUCCUCUUCAUUUUCUCUUGGCUUCUUUUCUUUUCAGGGAUAUAGAUCAUUAGCUAUACAUUCUUAUGUAGAAGCCAUUUUUAUCAGCAUCAUUUUUGCUCCAAGCUUUUAGUUGAGGAAGAGAUAAGCCACCAUCUCAAAGUUAAAGGUAUGAGUGAGAUUGGUUCUGAAAGAUCAAAGUCAUGGAACAUAUACACAACUCCAGACCAGAGCCCAUCAUCUCAAAGAGGCAUUGGUCAAGAAGCUCCUUGGAAGAACUUUGGAUCCUCCAUGAAUGCCAUUUCCUUUGGCUUUGUUGCUACUGCAAUCUUGAUAUCCAUGUUCCUUAUCAUGGCCAUCUUUGAGCAUCUGUUUAGACCAACUUCUUCUUUCUCCUCCUCUGGUGAAGUGACCAACAACUUUGCACAAUCGGGUCCGGUCGAGAAAUUCUCUAGUCCAAAUACGGUGCCAACAUCAUAUGCAGCUGAUUUCUCAGUGUUGAUGCCAGGUCAGCACAUCCCCACCUUCAUUGCCCAGCCAGCCCCUCUGCCAUGCCAAAGAGAGGGGACUUAUUGGCCAUCUCACGACCAUAAUUUUUCAGGCCCUUGAAACAAAGAUGAUAUUUCUUGCCUCCAUUGGAAGCAGCUGCUGCAUUUAGGAAAACUGUCAGCUUUGCUUCUUCUCAGAAUAAUAAUUCUUGUGCUCCUUCUUCACCCACUGGGAGAUUUGCUCAAAUGCUCAUGUUCUUUUUCAGUUUCUGAUGUGUAAAUUGAUUAUAAAAGAAUGGCACAAGUUCUUACACGAUUUCAAGGUGUAAGUAGAUUUCACUUCACUUCCUCACUACAGUGAGAAGGUGCUUUAAAAUUCAACAUUUUGAAAGGAAAGUGUUUCUGUAUAAGCUCUCAUAUAUGGCUACAAACACAAGGAACAUUUAAAAUC